GUGUCAGCAGCCGCGGUAAGACGAACCGUGCGAACGUUGUUCGGAAUCACUGGGCUUAAAGGGCGCGUAGGCGGGCGGGCAAGUCGGAGGUGAAAGCCCCCAGCUCAACUGGGGAAGUGCCCUCGAUACUGCCGGCCUGGAGGGAGGUAGGGGCGUGCGGAACUUCCGGUGGAGCGGUGAAAUGCGUAGAUAUCGGAAGGAACACCGGUGGCGAAGGCGGCACGCUGGGCCUUUCCUGACGCUGAGGCGCGAAAGCCAGGGGAGCGAACGGGAUUAGAUACCCCCGUAGUCC
rnacentral:rRNA from 1 species